rnacentral:tRNA from 1 species
UCCGCCCUAGUGUAACGGCAGCACGGCGGCCUUUGGAGCCGUUUAGUUCAGGUUCGAAUCCUGAGGGCGGAGC